rnacentral:rRNA from 1 species
UACGGGGGGGGCAAGCGUUGUUCGGAAUUACUGGGCGUAAAGGGCUCGUAGGUGGCCAACUAAGUCAGACGUGAAAUCCCUCGGCUUAACCGGGGAACUGCGGCUGAUACUGGAUGGCUUGAGUUCGGGAGAGGGAUGCGGAAUUCCAGGUGUAGCGGUGAAAUGCGUAGAUAUCUGGAGGAACACCGGUGGCGAAGGCGGCAUCCUGGACCGACACUGACACUGAGGAGCGAAAGCCAGGGGAGCAAACGGG